UACUCCGUUGCAAUUUAAAAUGUCUUAAUUAUGUUUUUAAACAGCACAGGCCCGCAUAAGCAUGUGACUGUAAGAGAAAAUAAGAGAGUAGUCAUGGGGACUGUUCCACUUGCAGCAAUGUUGGGAUCAAUCAUCUGAGAAAAGAUCCUGGAGAGACGAGGCAACGUAUUUUCCAUUUCUGAUGUCAGGAUUUGUUCUGUGAAACUGACCUUUAAAGCAGCCUGAAAAUGAGGAACGUGGCACCAGAGAGCAGAUCAGGAAGCAUGAAAUGAUACGUGAACUUAGCACUAGAAUCUGGAAGAGUUCUCAGACAGUAACACAACUGUUGUUUGCAGAUUGCUUGAAUCUUGACUCUACCAGGGAAAUAUUGUUGAGUACUUUAUACAACAGCUAUAAGGAAGACCUGAUGUGAACAUUGUUCACAAGUCUGCAAGAAAAAAACUCAACCAACCAGCAUUUCAUUUUAUGACCUGAAAAUUAUCCACUGCUGUAAGUAGAAUAAAACAGUUUUGCAAGUAUUUUUGGCUCA
rnacentral:lncRNA from 1 species